rnacentral:rRNA from 1 species
UACGUAGGGUGCGAGCGUUGUCCGGAGUUACUGGGCGUAAAGCGUGCGUAGGCGGUGGUCCAAGUCUGGUGUGAAAUCUCCCGGCUUAACUGGGAGGGUGCGUCGGAAACUGGGCCGCUGGAGUACGGGAGAGGCAAGCGGAAUUCCAGGUGUAGCGGUGAAAUGCGUAGAUAUCUGGAGGAACACCCGUGGUGCAGACGGCUUGCUGGACCGUGACUGACGCUGAGGCACGAAAGCGUGGGUAGCAAACAGG